AGCUCCAAGAGCGUAUAUUAAAGUUGUUGCAGUUAAAAAGCUCGUAGUUGAACCUUGGGAAGGCCGCGCCGGUCCGCCUUUUGGCGAGCACUGGAGGCAGCCUUCCUUUCCUCUGCCAUCCCUUCGGGGCGGGCAGACUAUUACUUUGAGUAAAUGAGAGUGUUCAAAGCAGGCGUACGCUUGAAUCUGUUAGCAUGGAAUAAUAGAAUAGGACGCAUGGUUCUAUUUUGUUGGUUUCUAGGACCAUCGUAAUGAUUAAUAGGGACGGUCGGGGGCAUCAGUAUUCAGUUGUCAGAGGUGAAAUUCUUGGAUUUACUGAAGACUAACUACUGCGAAAGCAUUUGCCAAGGACGUUUUCA
rnacentral:rRNA from 1 species